rnacentral:rRNA from 1 species
AGCGAACGCUGGCGGCAGGCCUAACACAUGCAAGUCGAACGGACCCUUCGGGGUUAGUGGCGGACGGGUGAGUAACACGUGGGAACAUGCCUUUAGGUUCGGAAUAGCUCCUGGAAACGGGUGGUAAUGCCGAAUGUGCCCUUCGGGGGAAAGAUUUAUCGCCUUUAGAGCGGCCCGCGUCUGAUUAGCUAGUUGGUGAGGUAAUGGCUCACCAAGGCGACGAUCAGUAGCUGGUCUGAGAGGAUGGCCAGCCACAUUGGGACUGAGACACGGCCCAAACUCCUACGGGAGGCAGCAGUGGGGAAUCUUGCGCAAUGGGCGAAAGCCUGACGCAGCCAUGCCGCGUGGAUGAUGAAGGUCUUAGGAUUGUAAAAUCCUUUCACCAGUGAAGAUAAUGACUGUAGCCGGAGAAGAAGCCCCGGCUAACUUCGUGCCAGCCGCCGCGGUAACAC